rnacentral:rRNA from 1 species
GACGAACGCUGGCGGCGUGCUUAACACAUGCAAGUCGAACGGAAAGGCCCUGCUUUUGUGGGGUGCUCGAGUGGCGAACGGGUGUGUAACACGUGAGUAACCUGCCCUUGACUUUGGGAUAACUUCAGGACACUGGGGCUAAUACCGGAGAGGAGUUCCUGCCGCAUGGUGGGGGUUGGAAAGUUUCGGCGGUUGGGGAUGGACUCGCGGCUUAUCAGCUUGUUGGUGGGGUAGUGGCUUACCAAGGCUUUGACGGGUAGCCGGCCUGAGAGGGUGACCGGCCACAUUGGGACUGAGAUACGGCCCAGACUCCUACGGGAGGCAGCAGUGGGGAAUAUUGCACAAUGGGCGGAAGCCUGAUGCAGCAACGCCGCGUGCGGGAUGACGGCCUUCGGGUUGUAAACCGCUUUCACCUGUGACGAAGCGUGAGUGACGGUAAUGGGUAAAGAAGCACCGGCUAACUACGUG